GGAGGUGCUGGGGUUGUCGCUGACCUUUGAAAGGGUCGUGCACGCCUCGGUGCUUUCACACAUAAUCCAUCUCACCCCUUUUGUGCAUCACCGCGUGGGGGCCCCUUUUAGCUAGUUCUGAAGGGGGCUUUUCACGUUUUUACAAACACACCCUUUUAAUGCAAUGUGUAGAAUGUCUUACCUUUUGCGAUCACACGCAAUCAAUACAACUUUCAACAACGGAUCUCUUGGCUCUCGCAUCGAUGAAGAACGCAGCGAAAUGCGAUACGUAAUGUGAAUUGCAGAAUUCAGUGAAUCAUCGAAUCUUUGAACGCACCUUGCGCCCUUUGGCAUUCCGAAGGGCACACCCGUUUGAGUGUCGUGACAUCCUCAAACCUUCUUGGUUUCUUGACUGAGAAGGCUUUGGACUUUGGAGGCUUUUGCUGGACCUUCGCUCGUUGAAGCCAGCUCCUCUGAAAUGAAUUAGUGGGGUCUGCUUUGCUGAUCCUUGACGUGAUAAGAUGCUUCUACGUCUUGGGUUUUGCACUGGUUGCUCUAGAUCCUGCUUCUAACUGUCUUGUAGAAGACAAAUGGUCGACUUGACCGACAAACCUGACCUCA
rnacentral:rRNA from 1 species